UGGGGAAUAUUGCACAAUGGGCGCAAGCCUGAUGCAGCCAUGCCGCGUGUAUGAAGAAGGCCUUCGGGUUGUAAAGUACUUUCAGCGGGGAGGAAGGGAGUAAAGUUAAUACCUUUGCUCAUUGACGUUACCCGCAGAAGAAGCACCGGCUAACUCCGUGCCAGCAGCCGCGGUAAUACGGAGGGUGCAAGCGUUAAUCGGAGUUACUGGGCGUAAAGCGCACGCAGGCGGUUUGUUAAGUCAGAUGUGAAAUCCCCGGGCUCAACCUGGGAACUGCAUCUGAUACUGGCAAGCUUGAGUAUCGUAGAGGGGGGUAGAAUUCCAGGUGUAGCGGUGAAAUGCGUAGAGAUCUGGAGGAAUACCGGUGGCGAAGGCGGCCCCCUGGACGAAGACUGACGCUCAGGUGCGAAAGCGUGGGGAGCAAACAGG
rnacentral:rRNA from 1 species